CGUAGGGUGCAAGCGUUAAUCGGAAUUACUGGGCGUAAAGCGUGCGCAGGCGGUUAUGUAAGACAGUUGUGAAAUCCCCGGGCGUCAACCUGGGAAGUUGCAUCUGUGACUGCAUAGCUAGAGUACGGUAGAGGGGGAGUGGAAUUCCGCGUGUAGCAGUGAAAUAGCGUAGAUAUGCGGAGGAACACCGAUGGCGAAGGCAAUCCCCUGGACCUGUACUGACGCUCAUGCACGAAAGCGUGGGAGGCAAACAGGAUU
rnacentral:rRNA from 1 species